rnacentral:rRNA from 1 species
GAAGUGUUAUAGCCUCUGGUAGAUGUGAUGACAGAGAUUGAGGAUUGCAACGAAUACCCUCAGGGCUACCUGCCUGGCCUCUGGUCGUCGCUUUGGUGCCGAAAGCGUGCUUAUGGUAUUAAAGUAGGUGGUCAAAAGGUUAGAACGGGUUAAAUUCGUUAAGGAUGUUGACUUAAUGACUUUAAACGA